AUGUGUUCCAUAUUUCCCUCUUUUCCCACCAGAAAAAUAAGUUGCUUAUUGGGAAAAUAUCAAAAUGCAUUAUCACAAGAUUCUCUCAUGGGCCAUCCAAGCUUCUGGAACUCUAUUCAAAAAUUAAUUUCACACACACAAAUAAUUAGCCAUCUUAAAGGAAGGAUGAAAGAUAUUAAGAGCAAAGAUUGCUCAACAUUUUUCCAUCAAGGCUUAGAGAGAACCACAAAUGCAAUGUAGAGACUUGGAGCCUUAGAACUUGAUCUCUGGAGUAUGUGGACUGCGUUUGGAGAAUCCAUGUAGAUUCUUGUGGAUCCUGCCUAGAUCUGGGCGCUUUGCUUCUACUGUUCUGAACCAGCCUAAAGCUUCGCUACCAAUGUUAGAGAUUUGACUUGUGUAAAACCAUAGUGAGACAGACAGUCCCUGCUGAGAGGGACAAUGCUUUUUCCUAUUUGCUCUGUGUGGGUUCUGCCCAUCCUUCCUCCUCUAGAAUUGGGUCUUCCCAUCCUUAGCAACCAAGCUUGUUCUCAUGCUUCCUUGCAAGAGCAUAUGGCAGUUACACCUCCAUGGGAGCUUUGGCACGUUUCGGCUCAGUCGUCAGAGUUCUGAGGUGAGGUGUGAGAAGAACAUGUCUCUAGCUGAUAGUAUGGCAAGUUCAAAAACACAUAUCAUGGUGGCUAGACCUAAGUCCAUGGGACUGCCACAGACUCCUGUGUAAGCCUUAGGUCCUGGAGUCACAGAGAUUCUACAACGUGCAUACAUAAUCUUGCUUCAUCUCACAUUACUUACCUGUAAAACAAAGAUAAAAAAUAUAUUGUAUAGAAUAGUUAUGAGAAUUACAUGAGAAAAUACAUGUAAAACAAAGAACAUAAUGCCAGUCAAUGUAAUUAAAGUCUUAUCGUACACUUAACAAAUACAUAAGUAUUGAGCACUGUCUUUGGGCUAUGCACUGAGAUUCUAAUGGUGAGAUGCAGACAUGAUUCUUUUUUUUCAAUAUUAUAUUCUACUAAAGUAUUACUAAAUUUUUGUGUUACUGUUACUAUGUGAUAUAUUAAUUAUCUAUUACUAUAUAACAAAUUAUCCCAAAAUAAGGAGACUUAAUACAGCAAACUUUUAUUUUCCUAGUUUCUUUGGGCUAGGAAUUUAGUUUAGCUAGGGGAUUCCAGCUCAGGGCCACUCAAGAUGUUGGCUGCAGAUGCAGUCAUCUGCCAGCUUGACUAGGGCUGGAGGAUUCACUUCCAAGAUGGCACAAUCUAUUGGUGGAAAGACUUCGUUCCUCACAUAUGGACCUCCCCAUAGGGUUGUCUGAAUGUCUAUACAACAUGGCAGCUGGCUUCGCACAAAGUAAGAGUUCUAAAAAAGAGGAAUGAUGAAGCUGAGAUAUAUUCUAUGUCCUAUUUUUAGAUGCCACUUCCCCUAUAUUAUAUCUGUUAGAUGUGAGUCAAGAAGUCCAGCCACAUUCAAAAGGAUAUAAGAAAUUAACCCUACCUUUUGGAGGGCAGAAUUUCAACUUGUGGGUGUAUUUUAAAACCACCACAUAAAGUACAGGGGAGAGAUCAGAGCAGGUGGGGAUAUUGGUGGAGGAGCCAGAAGCAUCAUGGAGGGCUUGCUGAAGAGUAGGACAGUCCCAGCUGGAGGCAGUGGGGACUAUCCUGCUACUUUUGUUUAUUUGUGUUUUAAAGAUUUUAUUUAUUUAUUCAUGACAGAGAGAGAGAGAGAGAGAGAGAGAGAGAGGCAGGCACAGGCAGAGGGAGAAGCAGGCUCCACACAAAGAACCUGAUGUGGGACUUGAUCCUGGAACUCCAGGAUCACACCCUGAGCUGAAGGCAGAUGCUCAACCACUGGACCAUCCAGGCUUCCCAUAUCCUGCUACUUUUGUAGAAAAUAAUACAUGAGCAUCAACUCUGGGAACAGGACACAGUGAGAUCAUGGAGCAGCCUUAUUUGAAUACUCUCUGCUGUUGAAGGUCCAAAAAAAAAGGACCCAUUUUCUAGAAUGUUCUUGGUUCCCCAUCCAUAUCUGUGUCUUUUAAGUUCUGUUUUACAGCCUUGUCUUUUCUGAAGUACAGGGAACUGAACUCAAGAUUCUUUUCCUUUUUAGUCUGUAAAGAAACUUCUUUCAGUUCAAAAACUUAAUAUUCAUAACGAUGGAAGUAGUCACAGAAUUUCUGAUUUUCCUUGAGCACCUCAGGUGCUCAAGUUCUUUCUCUUAGGCCACAAUCCUCUCUCAGAGCUGAUGAACAUAUGCUCAGUUCAAUAAAAGAAAUGGAACCCACUUUGGCUUGCCUUGU
rnacentral:lncRNA from 1 species